UGGGAUAACUUCGGGAAACCGGAGCUAAUACCGGAUAACAUUUAGAACCGCAUGGUUCUAAAGUGAAAGAUGGUUUUGCUAUCACUUAUAGAUGGACCCGCGCCGUAUUAGCUAGUUGGUAAGGUAACGGCUUACCAAGGCGACGAUACGUAGCCGACCUGAGAGGGUGAUCGGCCACACUGGAACUGAGACACGGUCCAGACUCCUACGGGAGGCAGCAGUAGGGAAUCUUCCGCAAUGGGCGAAGGCCUGACGGAGCAACGCCGCGUGAGUGAUGAAGGGUUUCGGCUCGUAAAGCUCUGUUAUUAGGGAAGAACAAAUGUGUAAGUAACUGUGCACAUCUUGACGGUACCUAAUCAGAAAGCCACGGCUAACUACGUGCCAGCAGCCGCGGUAAUACGUAGGUGGCAAGCGUUAUCCGGAAUUAUUGGGCGUAAAGCGCGCGUAGGCGGUUUCUUAAGUCUGAUGUGAAAGCCCACGGCUCAACCGUGGAGGGUCAUUGGAAACUGGGAAACUUGAGUGCAGAAGAGGAAAGUGGAAUUCCAUGUGUAGCGGUGAAAUGCGCAGAGAUAUGGAGGAACACCAGUGGCGAAGGCGACUUUCUGGUCUGUAACUGACGCUGAUGUGCGAAAGCGUGGGGAUCAAACAGGAUUAGAUACCCUGGUAGUCCACGCCGUAAACGAUGAGUGCUAAGUGUUAGGGGGUUUCCGCCCCUUAGUGCUGCAGCUAACGCAUUAAGCACUCCGCCCGGGGAGUACGACCGCAAGGUUGAAACUCAAAG
rnacentral:rRNA from 1 species